CCUGGCUCAGCCUCCGGAGUAGCUGAGACUAUAGGCGUCCGCCACCUCGCCCGGCUAGUUUUUUUGUAUUUUUUAGUAGAGACGGGUUUCACCAUGAUAGCCAGGAUGGUCUCGAUCUCCUGACCUCGUGAUCCGCCCGUCUCGGCCUCCCAAAAUGCUGGGAUUACAGGCUUGAGCCACCGCGCCCGGCCCUUUUCGCAUUUUCUUUAGAUUCAGCCCAGGGUCAGAAAUCCAGGCUCCUUUGCCCAUCUAAUAAGAAAGAAUGAAAGUUGAAAGCCACUCUCAGAAAUGGACAUGUAAGGAGACAUACCCAGAUCUGCAUUAUAGAAACAAAUGCUGAAGAACCAAUGCUGAGUAUUGGCUCAUAGAGACGAAGCAAAGAGAAGGGAGGAUUACUGAAGUAUAUAAUUUCAGUGUAAGUUAUACAAGGUAAGUCUUGACUGUAUAGAUGCAGUUACCUUAUUUUAAAAAAUCCAUCCAGCAAUAUAUUUAUUAUUUAU
rnacentral:lncRNA from 1 species